ACCAAAUUAGCUAAGAUUAAUUUUGGGACAUAAUAAAACCUAACAAAAGCUAUUCCAAUAAAAAAAAGUACAAAUUUAAGACUUCGGUUUCUAUUUCUAUGGAGGCCGAUUUUCAGCCCACCGUGCGGCCGCCAUCUUGGAUUCCAAAAUAGUCAUCAUUUUCGAAAACUGCGCCCCCUAAAACCUAUAAAACGACAUCCAUCACGACUUUUAUGACAUAGUGCAUGGCCGCCAUCUUGGAUUCCAAAAUAGUCAUCAUUUUCGAAAUCUGAGCCCCCUAUAACAUAUAAAACGACAUCCAUGACGACUGUUAUGACAUACUGCAUGGCAGCCAUCUUGGAAUUCAAAAUGGUCAUCAUUUUCGAAAUCUGCGCCCCCUAAAACCUAUAAAACGACAUCUAUGACGACUUUUAUGACAUAUGCAUGGCCACCAUCUUGGAUUCCAAAAUAGUCAUCAUUUUCGAAAUCUGAGCCCCCUAUAACCUAUAAAACGACAUCCAUGACGACUUUUAUGACAUACUGCAUGGCCGCC